rnacentral:rRNA from 1 species
UACAGAGGGUGCAAACGUUGCUCGGAAUUAUUGGGCGUAAAGCGCACGUAGGCGGUCAUGUAAGUCAGGAGUGAAAGCCCUCGGCUUAACCGGGGAAGUGCUUUUGAAACUGCAUGACUUGAAUACUGGAGAGGGUCGCGGAAUUCCCGGUGUAGAGGUGAAAUACAUAGAUAUGUCAUAGAACACCGAUUGCGAGGGCAGCUGACGAAACUGUAACUGACACUGAGGCUCGAAAGUGUGGGGAUCAAACAGG